CCUACGGGAGGCAGCAGUGAGGGAUAUUGCGCAAUGGGCGAAAGCCUGACGCAGCGACGCCGCGUGGGCGAGGAAGGCCUUCGGGUUGUAAAGCCCUUUUGGCAGGGAAGAGCAAGGACUGUACCUGCAGAACAAGUCACGGCUAACUACGUGCCAGCAGCCGCGGUAAUACGGAGGGUGCGAGCGUUGUUCGGAAUUAUUGGGCGUAAAGCGCGUGUAGGCGGUUUGUUAAGUCUGAUGUGAAAGCCCCGGGCUAAACCGGGAAAGUGCAUUGGAUACUGGCAGACUAGAGUACGGGAGAGGAGAGUGAAAUUCCCAGUGUAGGAGUAAAAUCCGUAGAUAUUGGGAGGAACACCGGUGGCGAAGGCGGCUCUCGGGACCGAUACU
rnacentral:rRNA from 1 species